rnacentral:misc_RNA from 1 species
AGGUGAACCAGUGUGUCAUUGG